GUGAGGGCAAAAAGGCUGCAAUGGAGAUCCGGGGACGGGAUCAGGCAAACAUCACGUGGUGGUUUACCCAGGUUCGGGGCUCUCCGGAGAGAUAAUACCCCUACUCCUGCAUGUCUGGAUAUAUAUGCGGUAUACAUGUUUGACAGUACAGAGUUGCUCCUAGAGCUGUAUUGGACUGAUAACAGUAGCAACCAGCUAGCUAGCUAGUGUGUGACAUGGUGGCCGUGGCCUCUGGCCGAAUGAGUGGGUGCCCAUGCGUGAGCAUGUAUGCAUGCGUGAGUGAGUGGAUGGGUGGAUAUGUGCCCAUAUAUAGUGUGGAGUUAGCUUAGGAAGUAAGCUUAGGCAUGAGUGUACAUUGUGUAGCUUACAUCCCAAGCCAUGCUUGCUUGCAUGCUAGACUAAGCUUUGUCCCUGGGGCAUUUUAUAAAUCAAUGCCCGGGGACAAAGUACACUGUAGAUGAUGACGCGUGUGACGAGCUAACAGUGUAUGCUUUAUCAGCAACAGUGGUCGCGGUAUGGCCGUCUUGUCGGUGUUGGGUCGAUGCAGUGGUUGACUUCGCGUAGCAGGCCGGCUGGAGCAGCCGGACAGGGAGCCGGCCAGACGGCCGGGAUGGUGAGUUCGGCCGGGUUGAGCAACCCGGCCAAGUGCGAGCUGGAUUGAGGGGCGUUGCUGGCCCCGGUGUUUUUGAAGCGUCGUUCGCCGUCUUGGGCCUAUCCGAGGAUCAUCCCCCCGACACUAAGACAC
rnacentral:rRNA from 1 species